UGGCGCUGAAGCUGGUGGAGAACUACAUCGCAAGCAACCUAGAGGACGAAGUUUCCUUGACUUCCCUUUGAUACUCAUUUGCUCAGCCCCAUGCUUAUCAAUGGUGGCUGCAGAAACUGGAACCAAGGAGCAAGCUAUGCCUUUGCAUCUUUUUCUUGACCCUCCUAAAAAUCAUUAAACAGUUAGGCAAUUAAUUCAGAAGGGUAAAUGCAGAAAAUUCUAUGUGAUUUUCCUCUCCUUGGAGUGAAUAUCCUAUGUAAAGUCGAAGCAAAGGAGAGCCAAUAUGCUAACAGUUCAUAGCACAAGUUUAACAUAUGUGACAAAAAAAUGUUGUUGCUGCAUUUUUGCAUAGCAUGCCUACCAUGAGAUGAAUAUUAGAAGACUGAUUGGGUCGAGCAGGCUGAGAAAGAUCAUCGUGAUGGUGCUGGUAAACAUCUUGGGUUGGUUGACUGGAUUAUACAUUCACUCUCGAUGGAAAUCCUCAACCAGUAAACCAGCAGAAUAUCAAAAGAAGAAAUUCCGUUUUGUGGUUGGUGGGAUAUCAAUCCACAUAUUAAAUUGAUUCUAAACCCAGAACCAACACUACAAGCACAACAUUAAGUUUAUGGGUUCGAAAGGUACAUCAAAAAGUAUCUACAAAUAGUUUAACUUCAAAACAAGAGAUUGAGAUGCAUGUCUGUAUCUAGGUUUAUUUUUUUGUUCUUAGCAAUGAAAGUAGGAGAGACUCUUACUGUUCAAUUAGGCUAUAGAAGAAACAAGUCCAUUUCUCUUGUCAAGCGAAAUAACCCAGGAAGCUAAUUAAUAGUGCAAACGGAGCUUACUUUUUUCUAAGGAAAUUAUUUGCUUCACAUCACAUUUGUUCCUGCAAUAUUAUAAUUAUAAUUCAAUGUAUUGUUGGCAACAAACAAAUAUUUAUCUGAACAAAAUUCUAUAAGAAAGCGACGGGGCUCCCUGAAACUACAAUGCAAUGCACAUCUCAAGCAAAGCAACUUAUACAAUUCACGUGGGUAUUGAAUAUCAAAAUUCAUAUUAAAAUUAAUUAAUUUUCAUAUAACCGAAGCUCUCCUGGGUGAAAUGAAGUACUGUAUACUAUUCCCUCUUGGUUCGGCCUACAUGUUAUUUUCAGAAGUUGAAUUGCUGGACUCGACUACAACGCUACCCAUGGGUGUGACGGUGAGAUGUUAGAAGAGUCUGCCGGUGCUCAAGACCAUUUUGCCCCCUUCCUAGGAUGCAAAAUUAGUUCUGCGAAGACUAAAGGCAAAUUAAACUUGUCAUAUCAACAUAUCAGCUGUGGAGAAAGGUCUAGUGUUCUAGAAUGACAAACUAUACAAUAAGGUAAAUAGGCGUGAGUAGAUCACGCGCUAGAAUAAUCAUUGUUUUGCAAAGCUAAACCAGGAAAGGAAAAAACCCACACAAUAUUUAGAAAGACCAAAGCCGCAUAAAAGAACCUUCUAAUGAGAUGAAUAUACCCACAGGAAACAACUUUAAUUAGCAAAUUAACUACUCAUUUAUACUCAAAAUAAAUAGAAGCGCACUGAUGAUGUGCAUAUCCUUUCUCAGUUGACAGGUUUAAAAUUGUUGAUAGGACCAAAUGCACGGCAAAUUCAUGGCAGCAAUUGUGAAUAAAAAAGAAAAAGAAAAUAGAAUAACCUAAUUGAGCAACAGGCGACCAAGAAUACACUACAAAGGCAGUGCCGUGCGGCGGGCAAGAGUACAUUACUCAAGCCAGUAUGAAAAUACAUUAAGACAUGCAUACAGAUCUGGCUUUGUCAUGAGUUCUUCACAGCAUUCUGCAUACAUAAAUUGAAGGGGCUUCUUUAAUAAAGGCGGCAUGUUAUACUUUGCCACUCAUGAGUUGCAAGCACGUUGUUGUAGUUGGAUAGCCGCAAUCGGCAUCCUUCAACGGGCUAUCACUGGCUUCAAGUAAGUCUCGAAUUUCAGUUUUGUCACUUUGUCUAGAUUUUUGGCACUAAAUCAUGGGCGUUCUCAGUACACGCACCUCUGAAAAAUAAAGAGCACCCAUAUAAGCUUAAAUGCUUGGCCGAGGUCGGCUUAAAAAAGGACUUCUUCCUUGGUUAUUGUAGAACUACAUGGCCUAAGGUGCAGUUAUUUUAUUUCUGCUAUUUUGCAUUGCCAGCGUUCAUGUGUCACCUCCAACCUGCAUCAGCAAAAUAUGUAGGCCUCAGUAGUAUACUGGACAACUCCAAACCUAAUGGAAUUGCAUAAUUUCCAUACACCUGCAUCAGGCUUGCCUAUCAACUACUCAGGUAAGAGUUGAAACCGAGCUCAACCGGUAAGCAAAAAAAAAUUAGUUCAGGAAAAAAUGUCGUGCCCUUCUCGAGUCUCGACAGUACGCAAGAAUCAUGCCUAAACACUAUGUGCAGACAUGGUGAGAGAUGCCACCACAUGUCACGGUUGUAGACCAGAAAACAGCUAGCCAUUCCUAUUAUACAGAUUUGCAAGUCUUAGGGUGUGGUAAAAUUCUAGGUAACUAGGUUAGCACUGCCAUACUUGUCAUUUGGAUCAAUACGGCUGUUAUACAUCUCUGACCUCCUCAGUCCAUCAGUAAAAGAGCAAAUCAUGUAAGGCUUGAUUCAUAUAAGUAAGUGUGCAUGUGCAAUGCACGUCUUGUCAGGAAUAAAAAAAAAUUGAAUACACAAAGCUAAUGUAGAGAAACGUGCAGAGAAAACCAGUACCAGGACAUAGUAAAAGUAAACUCUGGAGGAAAAUAAACGUGCAUUGACCAUAUAUGACUAUAAAUGACACAACUAAGAAAGCAGUUCCAUGCUUUCAUGUGACAAACUUCAAUAAUGCUUAGUAGUUUGUACAAUAUAAUAUAAGCAAAUAUGAAAAUGAAAUAUGGUAAAAUCACCCAUCCAUGGCAGUUUAACCAAAUUAUGUAAGUUAACAAGGCAGAAGCAGAAACAGAGUUUAAGCAUGUUACCUUUCAAAUGACUGUAAGAUAUCUAACAUCAAGGAGUGAUCCCGAAAGUCAUACUCAUAGCAGCCAGAGAGGACAUUAGCGACCUCCGUAGGUAAAUUGUACGGGAACAUCGGUUUCUCUUUCUUCAGGACAACUGUCCGAUAAAUCUCAUCUGGUGAUUUGGCACACCAAGUCUGAGCGCCACUGAACAUCUCAAGAAUGCUCCAAGCGAAACCCCAAUGAGUCAGUCUUGUAACUAAUUGGGCCUCUGAUGUUUGGUCACCAAUGUUCUGGGGCAUGUAAUUUGGAGUCCCAAGUCUUUGGAUAAGAUCUGGAUUUGGCAGCGGAAGUCCAAACAGCAAGAAUAGUACAUCUACUGGAAGCAGCAAGAAUGCAGCACACAAUUACAUACAUCUAUCAUCUAUAAAUUUAAUCCUCGUUCCUACUUAACAUUGAAACGUUCAGUAGGGAUGCCUAAUAUAAACCCAGAUGCAAUAAUUGAUACUUAUAUGUUACCAUAUGACGAGGGUAUGUAGGCUGCAUCAUACGAAUCCAAAAGCAAUUGGAAUUCUGCAAGUAGCAAACAAAUCCCUAUGUCAGAAGGACUCUUUCCUCGAUUCUGGCUGUUUUUAUAUUACGAACAAAAUAGAGGCAAACCUGACGAGACCUCAUUUGGUCUGAUCAUGAUGAUAGAAUGCAAGCCCCUGACCAACCAAGCACUAAAUCAUGCUCAUCUUAUUGUAUGAAUUAUGAAUGAGCGAAUGAAACAGAGAUGUACAUUUAUCACAUACCAAAUCGAACAACACUACAAAGGACACUAAAAAAAGAGAGUACAAAUUUAGGGGGCAAAACCAUUACACACCCGAUGGUCGUUCACAUCGGCUGCCUCAGCCCCGCGCCGUUCUCUAACAAAAUUAUUGGAAUGCAAGUGGACGCCCCUUCCAUAAAUCGAUAAAUGUGAGAUUCCAAGAGACCUUUAGAUGUGCGAGUUGCUUUUUCACCAGUUCCCUUUUUGUCUCUAGCUGCCUUGCCACUGCCUAUAGUGUUCAGUCUAUCAUCAGAAAAUUUAGCUGCAAGCCUACAACGAUGCAACAAAAAUGAGUACAAGGCAUAAUACUGAUUGUGACUAAAAGAUUAAGAUUGUAUAAUUGUACUUGGCCAAGAAGCGUUUACCUACAGAAUAAAAAUAAAGUAAUAAAAGAAGCACAACACGCAUUACUAAUUUGUGAAUUUUCGUAGAAUAAAGAGAAAAGGGAUUAAUAAAUAAUAGUACAAAUCAGAAGCAUAACCAUACUCGGC
rnacentral:lncRNA from 1 species